rnacentral:lncRNA from 1 species
UAAACUAAAGGCUUCUAUAGACAGGAUUUAUUCAGCUAAAUCAUUAAUAAUGGAAAUUGUUUCUCUUUCUUCCGGAUAUUAAGGAAGCAAGGAAGCAGAAGCCAAAACACAGAAACAGAAUGAAGAAAUUCAACCUUUUCAAAUCUCUCAUUGUCAAUAAAACACCACUUUCUGUUUCUCCAAUGUAAAGUAUAUCAUGUUGUUAUAAAAUAGUUUGUGUUUGCAUAAAAUAAACAUUUUGUCAAUGUUAUAAUACCUGAAAAGUACUUAUGUUGCUACUGGAUCACAUUACCUUUAUUGCAAUUCACGUCUUAGAAUAAA